UUUGCAUGUUUUUUGGUCCAGGCUUUGCAGUUGGGCCAGGACGCAUAUAGUCCCUAUGAGCUUAGAAGUCAAAGGUGUCAGAUGUGUUUGCGUUCUGAUUCUCUGCAUAAAGUGAUGGAACGCUUGGCAAAUCCAGGUGUGAGGCGGCUUGUGAUCGUGGAAGCCGGCAGCAAGCGUGUAGAAGGCAUUGUUUCAUUGAGCGACAUAUUUAAGUUCUUCCUUGGUGGUUAGUUUGGAUUGGUGAAGAAGUGAAAGGGUCUGUGUAGUGCUUAUGACAUACAAUUAGCCGCCGUGACUUGUCCAGCCAUUGAAAGUGCUUUCUACACGGUGAUUUUUAUCUCAUUUCAUUGUAAUACAAUUGGAUUGGCCUCUUGCUUUAUUGCCUCUUUUUAAGAUUUUAGGCUGAGAGAGAGGCCUGUAAAUUCAGAGUAUUUGAUUGCCCCAAAAUUUAUUCAUCUCUCCCCAUUCGUAUUAUCUUCAAAUGUAUUGUGCUCCUGACAAUAGAUACCAGCAAGGUGGGGGAGCACAACAUCUGUAAUCAUUCCAUGCUGUGAAGAUAUCAAGUUUGAAGAAAAAAAAAUGAGGAUGAAGAUUGAGAUACUGUUGUUUUAUAUUUGUUGAUUAAUAAUCCUUACUUAGGGUUUGAUUGUUUACCUUACUUAAGAAUAACUUUAGCCUAAGUAGCUUAUCAAUAAGGGACCUUUGCAUAUCAAGUUGUAUCAUUAGAGUAGCUGAUCUGAACAAAAAACCUAUAAGCAACAAUUGUUUGUACUAGUUUAUCUAAUAGUAGGACAUGUUUAAGCAA